rnacentral:misc_RNA from 1 species
UUUACCUGCUGGUGUGUUAAGUUAUUCUUCAUUUGAGUAUUUAAAGGCUGCAGUAUUGAGUAGAACUAAAAAGAGCCAUUUGGAGCCUAUUGAAAGUGUGUGCUGUGGAGCAUUGGCUGGGGCAAUCUCUGCAUCUAUAACCACACCGCUUGACGUGGUUAAGACAAGGUUGAUGACACAGGUGAAUAAGGAAGUGGUGGAUAAGGUCGCAGCUGCAAUGUAUAGUGGGGUUUCUGCUACUGUGAACCAGAUUCUGAAGGAGGAAGGAUGGGUUGGAUUUACCAGGGGAAUCGGUCCUAGAGUGGUUCAUAGUGCUUGUUUUUCAGCGUUGGGGUACUUUGCAUU